UACAGAGGUCCCGAGCGUUGUUCGGAUUCACUGGGCGUAAAGGGUGCGUAGGUGGCGAGGUAAGUCGGAUGUGAAAUCUCCAAGCUUAACUUGGAAAUGGCAUUGGAAACUACCUGGCUAGAGGUUUGGAGGGGGGACUGGAAUGCUUGGUGUAGCAGUGAAAUGCGUAGAUAUCAAGCGGAACACCAGUGGCGAAGGCGGCGAGCUGGUCCAUUACUGACGCUGAGGCGCGACAGCGUGGGGAGCAAACAGG
rnacentral:rRNA from 1 species